GCGCAUGCACCCACAAAACGUCGCUGGGCUGUAGUGGUCUAAGCUGGCGCGCGGAGGCAACACGUGUGGAGUCUUCUAAAAAACACCGCCAUCAAUUUUACGUCGUGGUCGGACUACGCCGGUGUGUGUGAGGCUACACGGAACUGCAUGAGCCUGGACAGCGGGCUUCAUACGAUUUCGCACGGACGUGUUCGUUGGAUAUUUUCACUUUCCUUUCCUUUCCUCAAAUCAGCGUCUCAAGUGACCCCAUAUAUGGUUUCUGGUCGCGAGGGGAAGUCGCAAGUUUUGCCGGCACAGUUCUUCAUCCCACUGCCUCAUCGUGUGAUAUGGAAAAGAACGGAACCUGCUGACUGAUGUGUCCGAAAAAUACACGUGGAUGCGCUGCUGCAGAUUGUAGGGUUAUCAUCCUUAGGAGGAGACUGCUAGACUGCUAUUGAGUGGCUAGCCAAUGAAAGGGGGAGACCUGUCUAUAAAUCUGUUGUAGCAUUUGCAUGCUGAGUCACCUACGUCUUGAUUUUGCACACGCUGGUGGUUUGAAGUCGCCGAGAAAGAUUGGCGCAACUUGCAUCGGUAACGAAGUGCUACAAGAGUAACCGAUGAAUCUGCCUCCUGAACUCCCACUUGUUUUUGCUAAUCGUGCAUCAGCAUUCCUUUGCCCU
rnacentral:lncRNA from 1 species